UCAGGACGAACGCUGGCGGCGUGCCUAAUACAUGCAAGUCGAGCGGAGAAAUGGGAGCUUGCUCCCAUUUCUCAGCGGCGGACGGGUGAGUAACACGUGGGCAACCUGCCCUACAGACUGGGAUAACUCCGGGAAACCGGAGCUAAUACCGGGUAAUACAUAGCAUCGCAUGAUGCAACGUUGAAAGUUGGCCUUUGGCUAACACUGUAGGAUGGGCCCGCGGCGCAUUAGCUAGUUGGUAAGGUAACGGCUUACCAAGGCCACGAUGCGUAGCCGACCUGAGAGGGUGAUCGGCCACACUGGGACUGAGACACGGCCCAGACUCCUACGGGAGGCAGCAGUAGGGAAUCUUCCGCAAUGGACGAAAGUCUGACGGAGCAACGCCGCGUGAGUGACGAAGGCCUUCGGGUCGUAAAGCUCUGUUGUUAGGGAAGAACAAGUACCGUUCGAAUAGGGCGGUACCUUGACGGUACCUAACCAGAAAGCCACGGCUAACUACGUGCCAGCAGCCGCGGUAAUACGUAGGUGGCAAGCGUUGUCCGGAAUUAUUGGGCGUAAAGCGCGCGCAGGCGGUCUCUUAAGUCUGAUGUGAAAGCCCACGGCUCAACCGUGGAGGGCCAUUGGAAACUGGGGGACUUGAGUGCAGAAGAGGAGAGUGGAAUUCCACGUGUAGCGGUGAAAUGCGUAGAUAUGUGGAGGAACACCAGUGGCGAAGGCGGCUCUCUGGUCUGUAACUGACGCUGAGGCGCGAAAGCGUGGGGAGCGAACAGGAUUAGAUACCCUGGUAGUCCACGCCGUAAACGAUGAGUGCUAGGUGUUGGGGGGUUCCACCCUCAGUGCUGAAGUUAACACAUUAAGC
rnacentral:rRNA from 2 species